rnacentral:rRNA from 1 species
CCUACGGGAGGCAGCAGUGAGGAAUAUUGGUCAAUGGACGAGAGUCUGAACCAGCCAAGUAGCGUGAAGGAUGACUGCCCUAUGGGUUGUAAACUUCUUUUAUAAAGGAAUAAAACGAGGCACGUGUGCCUGUUUGCAUGUACUUUAUGAAUAAGGAUCGGCUAACUCCGUGCCAGCAGCCGCGGUAAUACGGAGGAUCCGAGCGUUAUCCGGAUUUAUUGGGUUUAAAGGGAGCGUAGAUGGGUUGUUAAGUCAGUUGUGAAAGUUUGCGGCUCAACCGUAAAAUUGCAAUUGAUACUGGCAGUCUUGAGUACAGUUGAGGUAGGCGGAAUUCGUUGUGUAGCGGUGAAAUGCUUAGAUAUCACGAAGAACCCCGAUUGCGAAGGCAGCUUACUAAACUGUGACUGACAUUGAUGCUCGAAAGUGUGGGUAUCAAACAGGAUUAGAUACCCGGGUAGUC